CAUCUCUGGACCCCAGCUAUUACAAUAUAUGUACCUCUAGACCUCUGCUGUAUCACAUGCAGUAUCACCACAGCAGAAAUAAGACAUUGUGUGUGAAAGGUUUUGAUGAGCUCUGUGUUGCAUAACCUCACUCUCCCAAGUGUUUAGUCCCUCUGUUAUUGCAUACACGUUCUGAUAUCUGGUUUUAUAUGACAACCACCACAAUAAUAUGUACCAUGUCAGUAAAUCUUAAUGAGACUGUAUUCAUCCAACAAUUGACCCCCAAUGAAAUGUCUUCCUCUGUUUCUUUAUUAAUACCAUUGUAAUGAGACCAAUAUGUUUUAAAAUCUUUCUGGUGCAAAAUGAUGAAUAAAGAGUUAUAGACUGGCAUUCAAUGUGCCCUAAUGUA